GGAUAAAUAGUUUAAAGAGAAUGGUAUUUUUGUAAAGUACCGGUGUUGUUGUAUUUU
rnacentral:tRNA from 1 species